UACGGAGGAUCCGAGCGUUAUCCGGAAUCAUUGGGUUUAAAGGGUCCGUAGGCGGGCCUUUAAGUCAGGGGUGAAAGCCCGCGGCUCAACCGCGGGACCGCCCUUGAUACUGGCGGCCUGGAGUGGCGGUGAAGUGGCCGGAAUAUGUGGUGUAGCGGUGAAAUGCAUAGAUAUCACAUGGAAUACCGAUUGCGAAGGCAGGCCACUAACCGCGCACUGACGCUGAUGGACGAGAGCGUGGGUAGCGAACAGG
rnacentral:rRNA from 1 species